ensembl:lncRNA
UAAAACAAAGGAAUUAGUAUGAUUCAUCAACUGUUACUAACUUUAGGUCCAUUAAGCCACACCUCCAUCCAGGACUGAUUGACAGCUGACAUUCUGUCUGUGGAUAAAAGCUGUGCAAAUAAAAGAUUAUGCUUCAUUUACCACCAGUACCACUCUGGAGACUCUAUUACAGAAGCUCUUCAGCCAGAGGAAUACCAUUCAGUGAAUUUAAAUCCCAUUUCACUUUCUUCAGCAUGAGGCACAUUAGACUACAUUAUACCGGCGCUGCAUUCUUCUUACUGCUGUUCUCUGCAACAGGUAAUUGACUUUCGCAUUUAAUGAAACAUCUUGAGGAUUUCACUAUAGAAAUAACAAACUGUGUUAUCUAUCUAUCUAUCUAUCUAUCUAUCUAUCUAUCUAUCCAUCUAUCCAUCUAUCCAUCUAUCUAGUAUACAAAUAUAUACAAAUUCGUAAUCAUGUUUCAACACCAGACUUUUACCAAAUUUGAUUUAUAAAGAGGCCAUAAUAAAAAGACCCUAAAUGCAGUUUCUCAUUGUUGGUCACAGUUUACUCAUCAUUACUCAUUGUUUUAUAUAUAUAUACAUACAUACACACACAUUAUGGCUACUCACAUGGCAAUGAAUAAUCGUGUUAUAUUUGUAGGUGCUGAGCCCUACAGUCUUUUAAAAGUCCUCGAGGGCCUCCAGGCAGAGCCACAGAACUACCCUUCACCCCUGUACUCAUUCUCCCUCUGCAUGGAGAUCAACAACCGCGUCUUCAGCGACGCUCUCCUCAACUCAAGCUCACAGCAGUACAAGCGCAUGUAUGCAGAGGUUGCUGGAGCUCUGGACAUCGCCUUUAACUGCUCUGACUGUGACACAAGAGAAACCUACAGAGGAGUGACGAACAUACAGUUCAGUAACGGGUCUGUGAUCGCAAAUUGUACCAUCCAGUUCCAGACCAUUUUUAUCAACCAUGUUGUGAUCAAACAUUUGUUCUUGAGGGCUGUAGAUAACACUCAGCUGAAUGGUCUUGAAGUGAACAGAAAGUACACUGAUGAAAUAGUCACACCUAUCUGGCUUUUUCCAAAAUCCUCAACUCCGAUGGCAGAAACUAGUGUUCAGGGGCUUCCUGGGUGGGCCAUUGCAUUGUUAGUGCUGGCAUGCAUCAUCAUCCUGCUUCUCUUCAUCAUCUUACUACUGGUAAAUGCUUUAUACAUUUACAUUUUAUAAACUCACAGGUUUGACAAAGUAACAGGAAAAACAGCCAACAGUAUCAUUGCUAUGAUAUUACAUAAUGUAUUACCUCAUUUCCAUCUCUCCAGAUAUGCUUUUGGUGCUGUAGGAGAAAAGAAAAAAAGGAAGAAACACAAACAGUAACACCGUAUGAGAGAACGUCUUUCAAAGAGCAUCUUGCCAAUCCCACAUAUAUGUCACACGCACCUGAGAAGAGCCCCAACUACCGGAGCUUGGUAA